rnacentral:rRNA from 1 species
UACGGAGGGGGCUAGCGUUGUUCGGAAUUACUGGGCGUAAAGCGCACGUAGGCGGCUUUGUAAAUUAGAGGUGAAAGCCCAGGGCUUAACCCUGGAAUUGCCUUUAAGACUGCAUCGCUAGAAUUGUGGAGAGGUAAGUGGAAUUCCGAGUGUAGAGGUGAAAUUCGUAGAUAUUCGGAAGAACACCAGUGGCGAAGGCGACUGACUGGACAAGUAUUGACGCUGAGGUGCGAAAGCGUGGGGAGCAAACAGG